rnacentral:rRNA from 1 species
CAAGUAAUUAAGUGCAUGUGGUGGAUGCCUUGGCAGUCAGAGGCGAUGAAAGACGUGAUAGCCUGCGAAAAGCUCCGGGGAGGCGGCAAAUAUCCUUUGAUCCGGAGAUGUCUGAAUGGGGGAACCCACCUACUUUAAGGUAGGUAUUGCAACAUGAAUACAUAGUGUUGCAAGGCGAACGAGGGGAAGUGAAACAUCUCAGUACCCUUAGGAAAAGAAAUCAAUUGAGAUUCCCUCAGUAGCGGCGAGCGAACGGGGAUCAGCCCAUUAAGUUAUGUGUGUUUUAGUGGAACGCUCUGGGAAGUGCGAACGUAGAGGGUGAUAUUCCCGUACACGAAAGGGCACACAUAAUGAUGACGAGUAGGGCGAGGCACGUGAAACCUUGUCUGAAUAUGGGGGGACCAUCCUCCAAGGCUAAAUACUCCUGACUGACCGAUAGUGAACCAGUACCGUGAGGGAAAGGCGAAAAGAACCCCUGUGAGGGGAGUGAAAUAGAUCCUGAAACCGCAUGCAUACAAGCAGUGGGAGCACCUUCGUGGUGUGACUGCGUACCUUUUGUAUAAUGGGUCAGCGACUUAUAUUCAGUAGCGAGGUUAACCGUAUAGGGGAGCCGUAGAGAAAUCGAGUCUUAAUAGGGCGUUUAGUUGCUGGGUAUAGACCCGAAACCAGGCGAUCUAUCCAUGAGCAGGUUGAAGGUUGGGUAACACUAACUGGAGGACCGAACCCACUGUCGUUGAAAAGCCAGGGGAUGACUUGUGGAUAGGGGUGAAAGGCUAAUCAAGCCUGGUGAUAGCUGGUUCUCCCCGAAAGCUAUUUAGGUAGCGCCUCGGACGAAUACCAUAGGGGGUAGAGCACUGUUUCGGCUAGGGGGUCAUCCCGACUUACCAAACCGAUGCAAACUCCGAAUACCUAUGAGUACUAUCCGGGAGACAGACUGCGGGUGCUAACGUCCGUAGUCAAGAGGAAAACAAUCCAGACCGCCAGCUAAGGCCCCAAAAUCAUAGUUAAGUGGGAAACGAUGUGGGAAGGCAUAGACAGCUAGGAGGUUGGCUUAGAAGCAGCCACCCUUUAAAGAAAGCGUAAUAGCUCACUAGUCGAGUCGGCCUGCGCGGAAGAUGUAACGGGGCUAAAACUAUGUGCCGAAGCUGCGGAUGUAUACUUUGUAUACGUGGUAGGGGAGCGUUCUGUAAGCCGAUGAAGGUGUGUUGAGAAGCAUGCUGGAGGUAUCAGAAGUGCGAAUGCUGACGUGAGUAACGACAAAACGGGUGAAAAACCCGUUCGCCGAAAGACCAAGGGUUCCAGUCCAACGUUAAUCGGGGCUGGGUGAGUCGACCCCUAAGGCGAGGCCGAAAGGCGUAGUCGAUGGGAAAAUGGUUAAUAUUCCAUUACUUCUGUGUAAUGCGAUGAGAGGACGGAGAAGGCUAAAUCAGCCUGGCGUUGGUUGUCCAGGUGAAAGGAUGUAGGCAUGUAUCUUAGGCAAAUCCGGGGUACUCUAUGCUGAGAUCUGAUAGCAAGCUGUACUUGUACAGCGAAGUGGUUGAUGCCAUGCUUCCAGGAAAAGUCUCUAAGCUUCAGUUACACAGGAAUCGUACCCGAAACCGACACAGGUGGUCAGGUCGAGUAGACCAAGGCGCUUGAGAGAACUCUGCUGAAGGAACUAGGCAAAAUGGUACCGUAACUUCGGGAGAAGGUACGCUGUUGUUGGUGAUGGAACUCGCUUCCUGAGCUGACGACAGCCGCAGAAACCAGGCCGCUGCAACUGUUUAUUAAAAACAUAGCACUCUGCAAACACGAAAGUGGACGUAUAGGGUGUGAUGCCUGCCCGGUGCUGGAAGGUUAAUUGAUGGGGUUAGCGUAAGCGAAGCUCUUGAUCGAAGCCCCAGUAAACGGCGGCCGUAACUAUAACGGUCCUAAGGUAGCGAAAUUCCUUGUCGGGUAAGUUCCGACCUGCACGAAUGGCAUAAUGAUGGCGGCGCUGUCUCCAGCAGAGGCUCAGUGAAAUCGAAAUCGCUGUGAAGAUGCAGUGUACCCGCGGCUAGACGGAAAGACCCCGUGAACCUUUACUGCAGCUUGACACUGAACUUUGACCUUACUUGUGUAGGAUAGGUGGGAGGCUUUGAAGCUGGAACGCUAGUUCCAGUGGAGCCGUCCUUGAAAUACCACCCUGGUAAUGUUGAGGUUCUAACUCUGUCCCGUGAUCCGGGACGAGGACCGUGUCUGGUGGGUAGUUUGACUGGGGCGGUCUCCUCCUAAAGAGUAACGGAGGAGUACGAAGGUGCGCUCAGCGUGGUCGGAAAUCACGCGUAGAGUAUAAAGGCAAAAGCGCGCUUAACUGCGAGACCCACAAGUCGAGCAGGUACGAAAGUAGGUCUUAGUGAUCCGGUGGUUCUGUAUGGAAGGGCCAUCGCUCAACGGAUAAAAGGUACUCUGGGGAUAACAGGCUGAUACCGCCCAAGAGUUCAUAUCGACGGCGGUGUUUGGCACCUCGAUGUCGGCUCAUCUCAUCCUGGGGCUGAAGCAGGUCCCAAGGGUAUGGCUGUUCGCCAUUUAAAGAGGUACGCGAGCUGGGUUUAGAACGUCGUGAGACAGUUCGGUCCCUAUCUACCGUGGGCGCUGGAAAUUUGAGAGGAUCUGCUUCUAGUACGAGAGGACCAGAGUGGACGAACCUCUGGUGUACCGGUUGUGACGCCAGUCGCAUCGCCGGGUAGCUAUGUUCGGAAGGGAUAACCGCUGAAAGCAUCUAAGCGGGAAGCCUACCUCAAGAUAAGAUUUCCCUAGGACUUUAUGUCCUCUAAAGAGCCGUUCGAGACUAGGACGUUGAUAGGUUGGAUGUGGAAGCAUAGUGAUAUGUGAAGCUGACCAAUACUAAUUGCUCGUGAGGCUUGACUA